GGUAACUAUUAAUAACAAAGGCUCGCACUGAGUGAGAGCCUGCUAUGUGCCAGGCACCGUGCCAAGGGCUUUAGGGACAU
rnacentral:miRNA from 14 species